GACGAACGCUGGCGGCGUGCCUAACACAUGCAAGUCGAGCGAUGAAGUUUUCUUCGGAAAACGGAUUAGCGGCGGACGGGUGAGUAACACGUGGGCAACCUGCCCUAUAGAGGGGGAUAGCCUUUCGAAAGGAAGAUUAAUACCCCAUAAGAUUGUAGUACCGCAUGGUACAGCAAUUAAAGGAGCAAUCCGCUAUAGGAUGGGCCCGCGGCGCAUUAGCUAGUUGGUGAGGUAACGGCUCACCAAGGCGACGAUGCGUAGCCGACCUGAGAGGGUGAUCGGCCACAUUGGGACUGAGACACGGCCCAGACUCCUACGGGAGGCAGCAGUGGGGAAUAUUGCACAAUGGGGGAAACCCUGAUGCAGCAACGCCGCGUGAGUGAUGACGGUCUUCGGAUUGUAAAGCUCUGUCUUCAGGGACGAUAAUGACGGUACCUGAGGAGGAAGCCACGGCUAACUACG
rnacentral:rRNA from 1 species